rnacentral:rRNA from 1 species
GACGAACGCUGGCGGCGUGCUUAACACAUGCAAGUCGAACGGAAAGGCCCUGCUUUUGUGGGGUGCUCGAGUGGCGAACGGGUGAGUAACACGUGAGUAACCUGCCCUUGACUUUGGGAUAACUUCAGGAAACUGGGGCUAAUACCGGAUAGGAGCUCCUGCUGCAUGGUGGGGGUUGGAAAGUUUCGGCGGUUGGGGAUGGACUCGCGGCUUAUCAGCUUGUUGGUGGGGUAGUGGCUUACCAAGGCUUUGACGGGUAGCCGGCCUGAGAGGGUGACCGGCCACAUUGGGACUGAGAUACGGCCCAGACUCCUACGGGAGGAAGCAGUGGGGAAUAUUGCACAAUGGGCGGAAGCCUGAUGCAGCAACGCCGCGAGCGGGAUGACGGCCUUCGGGUUGUAAACCGCUUUCGCCUGUGACGAAGCGGGAGUGACGGUAAUGGGUAAAGAAGCACCGGCUAACUACGUG